rnacentral:rRNA from 1 species
CCUACGGGUGGCAGCAGUGAGGAAUAUUGGUCAAUGGGCGAGAGCCUGAACCAGCCAAGUCGCGUGAGGGAGUACGGCCCUCUGGGUUGUAAACCUCUUUUGUCGGGGAGCAAAAGCCGGACGUGUCCGGCUGUGAGAGUACCCGAAGAAAAAGCAUCGGCUAACUCCGUGCAAGCAGCCGCGGUAAUACGGAGGGGGCGAGCGUUAACCGGUGUUAUUGGGGGUCAAGGGUGAGCAGGCGGAUUUUUAAGUCAGCGGUCAACUUGUGGGGGUAAACCCCAUCCAGCCGUUGAAACUGGGGAUCUAGAGUGCGCGAGAGGUAGGCGGAAUUCGGGGUGUAGCGGUGAAAUGCGUAGAUAUCACGAAGAACCCCGAUUGCGAAGGCAGCUUACUAAACUGUGACUGACACUGAUGCUCGAAAGCGUGGGUAGCAAACAGGAUUAGAUACCAUAGUAGUC